rnacentral:rRNA from 1 species
UUUUUUAAUUGAAAACUUGUAUGAAGGGUUGAAUAAAAUAUUAACUGUUUCAUAAAAAUUUUAUUAGAAUUUUAUUUUUUAAUUAAAAAGUUAAAAUUUAAUUAGAGGACGAGAAGACCCUAUAGAAUUUUAUAAUUUAAAUAAUUUAUUUUUUAUAAAAUAUUUUUAAAAAUUUAUAUUAUGAAUUAUUUUAUUGGGGUGAUAUUAUAAUUUAAAAAACUUAUAUUAAUUAUUAACAAAAAUUAUUGAAUAUAUGAUCUUGUAUUAUAGAUUAAAAGAAUAAAUUACCUUAGGGAUAACAGCGUAAUUUUAUUUUUAAGUUCUUAUUUAUAAUAAAGAUUGC